UAGGGAAUCUUCCACAAUGGACGAAAGUCUGAUGGAGCAACGCCGCGUGAGUGAUGAAGGGUUCGGCUCGUAAAACUCUGUUGUUGGAGAAGAACGGGUGUCAGAGUAACUGUUGACAUCGUGACGGUAUCCAACCAGAAAGCCACGGCUAACUACGUGCCAGCAGCCGCGGUAAUACGUAGGUGGCAAGCGUUGUCCGGAUUUAUUGGGCGUAAAGCGAGCGCAGGCGGUUUUUUAGGUCUGAUGUGAAAGCCUUCGGCUUAACCGGAGAAGUGCAUCGGAAACCGGGAGACUUGAGUGCAGAAGAGGACAGUGGAACUCCAUGUGUAGCGGUGAAAUGCGUAGAUAUAUGGAAGAACACCAGUGGCGAAGGCGGCUGUCUGGUCUGCAACUGACGCUGAGGCUCGAAAGCAUGGGUAGCGAACAGGAUUAGAUACCCUGGUAGUCCAUGCCGUAAACGAUGAGUGCUAAGUGUUGGAGG
rnacentral:rRNA from 1 species